AAUUCGUGGAAUGAAGUGAGCGGCACCUUUCCCAUUUGCUGUUGGCGGUCGGCGUGCAGCACCGAGUGAUGGGAGUAACGGGUGACGACGUGACGUUUUGUCGCGCUCACUCUUGCAACAAGUAGAACGGCGGCGAUUAGUUCCUAGUUGAGAUGGGAGGCAUUGUGCCCCGGCCCGGGCUGAGGUGGCUGACAUUUUUAAGAUUAUACGCAUGCAACGCUUGUCCGCAAUGACGAUACAUGUUUACAUCCCAAUGAAUGCAGUAUUGCAAGUAAAACAGCG